rnacentral:rRNA from 1 species
AUACGUAGGGGGCGAGCGUUGUCCGGAAUGAUUGGGCGUAAAGGGCGCGUAGGCGGCCCGGUAAGUCUGGAGUGAAAGUCCUGUUUUUAAGAUGGGAAUUGCUUUGGAUACUGUCGGGCUUGAGUGCAGGAGAGGUAAGUGGAAUUCCCAGUGUAGCGGUGAAAUGCGUAGAGAUUGGGAGGAACACCAGUGGCGAAGGCGACUUACUGGACGGUAACUGACGCUGAGGCGCGAAAGUGUGGGGAGCAAACAGGAUUAGAUACCCUGGUAGUCCACACUGUAAACGAGGAAUACUAGGUGUCGGGUUUCUAUAGAGAUUCGGGGCCGCAGCAAACGCAAUAAGUAUUCCACCUGGGGAGUACGUUCGCAAGAAUGAAACUCAAAUGAAUUGGCGGGG